rnacentral:misc_RNA from 1 species
UGGUUCUGGCAUCGAUGAAGAACGCAGCGAAAUGCGAUAAGUAAUGUGAAUUGCAGAAUUCAGUGAAUCAUCGAAUCUUUGAACGCACAUUGCGCCCGCCAGUAUUCUGGCGGGCAUGCCUGUUCGAGCGUCAUUUCAACCCUCAAGCCCCCGGGCUUGGUGUUGGGAACCGACCGGCUAGACCCGAUCGCUCCCGAAAUCUAGUGGCGAUCCCACCAACGCACCCUUGGCGUAGUAACAUACCCCGCCCUGGAACUUGGUGUGGUCAGGCCGUUAAACCCCCCACUUCUCAAGGUUGACCUCGGAUCAGGUAGGAAUACCCGCUGA